rnacentral:rRNA from 1 species
ACUUAAAUAAAAUGCCAAAGUUCGAGCAAGACAGAUGGGAGCUUGCUCCCUGAUGUUAGCGGCGGACGGGUGAGUAACACGUGGGUAACCUGCCUGUAAGACUGGGAUAACUCCGGGAAACCGGGGCUAAUACCGGAUGCUUGUUUGAACCGCAUGGUUCAAACAUAAAAGGUGGCUUCGGCUACCACUUACAGAUGGACCCGCGGCGCAUUAGCUAGUUGGUGAGGUAAUGGCUCACCAAGGCAACGAUGCGUAGCCGACCUGAGAGGGUGAUCGGCCACACUGGGACUGAGACACGGCCCAAACUCCUACGGGAGGCAGCAGUAUGGAAUCUUCCGCAAUGGACGAAAGUCCGACGGAGCACCGCCGCGUGAGUGAUGAAGGUUUUCGGAUCGUAUAGCUCUGUUGUUAAGGAAGAACAAUUACCGUUCGAAUAGGGGCGGUACCUUGACGGUACCUAACCACAAAGCCUCGGUUAACUACUUGCCAGCAGCUGCGGUAAUACGUAUGUGGCAUGCGUUGUCCGGAAUUAUUGGGCGUAAGGGCUCGCAUGCUGUUUCUUAAGUCUGAUGUCAAAGCCCCCGGCUCAACCGGUGAGGGUCAUUGGAAACUGUGGAACUUGAGUGCAGAAAGAGGAUAUCGGAAUUCCCGUGUAACGGUGAAAAUGCUUAGAGAUUGCGGAAGAACACCAAUUGGCUACUGCGACUCUCUGGUCUG